CCGGCGGCUGGAAUCGCAAGCGCUUUGGUGGAUGUCUAAAAACGGCGUCAGUGCCGGUGGCAAACAGACUGUCUGAAUYGGCAAUAAAGUGAGUGAGGACGAAGCGCUCGUCAGGCCGAGCGCCGGCGCCCGGAAUUCAAUGGGAACGGGGGACGGAGCGGUCGCCUUGCCGACGCUGCCUCAUUAGGUGCCUUUGCGCUUUCAUUCCUGAACCGGGGACUCGCAUCCGGGCUCGUCCGGUGAACGCUUGCUCUCCCGUCCGAAGGCGCCGACACGAGAGCCCAGCGCUGCGCCGCUUCGCYGCCGCUCCGCGGGAUGGGUCUGCGCAGGUAGGCGCCGCUGCGCGAUCCGGGGGCGACGGGCUGGGCGCCAAGGCGAACCCGAAAACGCGGCCGAUCCUCCCGCGGGAGGCCGAGGCGCCGAAAGGCUUCUCCUCGGCUUUGCUGCUCCGGUUGUACCCCGGGAAAAAAAAAAACACCAAAACACGGUGCGGAGAGGGUCACGGCGACCGCCGGGGCUURCAAAACGCGGCGCGAGCCGUGCCGCUCGGCGUGCCCCUUCCCCGCCUCCAUUUGCUCCCUUUUUCCUUUCCUUCCGGAGCUYGUUUUGUCCCGGGGGCUGCCUCUGCUUCAGCAUGUUUUCCCAAGAAGAGGCGAAUCCUGGYGACCGGCGAAGCGGCGGCUCCUCCUCCUUUCUGCUCCGGGAAAAAUUGAGCGCGAAAACGGGAUUUAUGGUCAAACGCUCCUCGGCCUCGGGACUCGGCGAUUGAAACCUCUUUUUCCCCGGGUGACUUUUUCCCGUCGUGCAGCCGAAAAAAAAACCGGCCCAGCCAGGCAGCUUGGAGCUUGUCCGUGCAAACACAUGCGUGCCGCAGGCGUCCGCCUAGCACAGAUAUAAGUAUUUUUAAGGAUAUUAUAGAAGCGUUUGCAUGCUAAGACGCGCGCACGGGCGCAGACAGGUGCCCUCCGAUGCGCAGAUACCCUCACCCGUGUGCAGAAACACUGAUUUACACACACGCACAUUAUAACUUUCCCGUAUUCCCAUUAUCUCUAACCCAUAUACUCCGGGAAGUUUAAUUUGUUCUCGCUAGUAAUCACCAUUAAAUAGAAAUUGUCUUUUUUUCUGUGUAAACACGUCAUUAGCAAAGCCGGUUUCUGCAGGGGCCGGAUUUCAUUUUUAUUAAAAUUGUGACGCUUUUCGGCUCCUCACUGGGGCCGGAGAUGAACGGGAUCGUUUUAACCCGUCCGGUUUGGCCACGGAUAAUCGCGCCCGUGCUUGAACUGGGCGAUUAGGGGAAAUCGCCGCUUUCUCCGCAAGGCGAUUUUGCAUUUUUUUCCCCCUCCCUGUUCUCUGCGGCUAAGUCGUGCUUUCGUACCCAGCCC
ensembl:lncRNA